GAUCCUGGCUCAGGAUGAACGCUAGCGACAGGCUUAACACAUGCAAGUCGAGGGGCAGCGAGGGCGUAGCAAUACGCCUGUCGGCGACCGGCGCACUGGUGAGUAACACGUAUGCGACCUGCCCCCUACAGGGGUAUAACCCGUAGAAAUGCGGACUAAUCCCCCAUAGUCCUGAGUGCUGCAUGGCAUUCAGGGGAAAGGCCAGCCGGUAGGGGAUGGGCAUGCGGCGCA
rnacentral:rRNA from 1 species